rnacentral:rRNA from 1 species
GACGGAGGGGGCUAGCGUUGUUCGGAUUUACUGGGCGUAAAGAGCGCGCAGGCGGUCGUUCAAGUCGAGUGUGAAAGCCCCCGGCUCAACUGGGGAGGGUCACUCGAUACUGAUCGACUUGAAGGCAGGAGAGGGAAGCGGAAUUCCCGGUGUAGUGGUGAAAUGCGUAGAUAUCGGGAGGAACACCAGUGGCGAAGGCGGCUUCCUGGCCUGCUCUUGACGCUGAGGCGCGAAAGCUAGGGUAGCAAACGGG